rnacentral:rRNA from 1 species
CCCCUUGGUUCGGAAUAACAGUUAGAAAUGACUGCUAAUACCGGAUGACGACGUAAGUCCAAAGAUUUAUCGCCGAGGGAUGAGCCCGCGUAGGAUUAGCUAGUUGGUGUGGUAAAGGCGCACCAAGGCGACGAUCCUUAGCUGGUCUGAGAGGAUGAUCAGCCACACUGGGACUGAGACACGGUCCAGACUCCUACGGGAGGCAGCAGUGGGGAAUAUUGGACAAUGGGCGAAAGCCUGAUCCAGCCAUGCCGCGUGUGUGAAGAAGGUCUUCGGAUUGUAAAGCACUUUAAGUUGGGAGGAAGGGCAGUAAAUUAAUACUUUGCUGUUUUGACGUUACCGACAGAAUAAGCACCGGCUAACUCUGUGCCAGCAGCCGCGGUAAUACAGAGGGUGCAAGCGUUAAUCGGAAUUACUGGGCGUAAAGCGCGCGUAGGUGGUUCGUUAAGUUGGAUGUGAAAUCCCCGGGCUCAACCUGGGAACUGCAUUCAAAACUGACGAGCUAGAGUAUGGUAGAGGGUGGUGGAAUUUCCUGUGUAGCGGUGAAAUGCGUAGAUAUAGGAAGGAACACCAGUGGCGAAGGCGACCACCUGGACUGAUACUGACACUGAGGUGCGAAA